rnacentral:pre_miRNA from 10 species
UCAGGUCUUCAGCAGAAGCAGGGAGGUUCUCCCAGUGGUUUUCCUUGACUGUGAGGAACUAGCCUGCUGCUUUGCUCAGGAGUGAGCU